rnacentral:tRNA from 1 species
GCUGUGGCUCAGUGGUAGAGCAGCGGCUUGGCACGUGUAAGGUCCCAGGUUCAAUACCCGGCAUCUCCA